rnacentral:rRNA from 1 species
GAUGAACGCUGGCGGCGUGCCUAAUACAUGCAAGUCGAGCGAACGGACGAGAAGCUUGCUUCUCUGAUGUUAGCGGCGGACGGGUGAGUAACACGUGGAUAACCUACCUAUAAGACUGGGAUAACUUCGUGAAACCGGAGCUAAUACCGGAUAAUAUUUUGAACCGCAUGGUUCAAAAGUGAAAGACGGUCUUGCUGUCACUUAUAGAUGGAUCCGCGCUGCAUUAGCUAGUUGGUAAGGUAACGGCUUACCAAGGCAACGAUGCAUAGCCGACCUGAGAGAGUGGUCGGCCACACUGGAACUGAAACACGGUCCAGACUCCUACGAGAGGCAGCAGUAGGGAAUCUUCCGCAAUGGGCGAAAGCAUGAAGGAGCAACGCCGCGUGAGUGAUGAAGGUCUUCGGAUCGUAAAACUCUGUUAUUAGGGAAGAACAUAUGUGUAAGUAACUGUGCACAGCUUGACGGUACCUAAUCAGAAAGCCACGGCUAACUACGUG